CCUACGGGAGGCAGCAGUGGGGAAUAUUGCACAAUGGGCGCAAGCCUGAUGCAGCGACGCCGCGUGAGGGAUGAAGGCCUUCGGGUUGUAAACCUCUUUCAGUAGGGAAGAAGCGAAAGUGACGGUACCUGCAGAAGAAGCGCCGGCUAACUACGUGCCAGCAGCCGCGGUAAU
rnacentral:rRNA from 3 species